CUCAUAUCCAUGAUUUUCUUUCUAUUUCCUCAGUGACCAGUCCUUGCCCUGAAGCUAUCCAGGAGCCCAGCAGGAGCCUCCUCAUCAGAACAGAAAACACUCCUAUCACCCAGGAAAUUCCAAGGGAUUUAGCAGCUCUGCGUCAGGAACCAGGGGCAGACACCAACCAUCCUGAUG